rnacentral:rRNA from 1 species
UCGAGGAUCUUCGGCAAUGGGCGCAAGCCUGACCGAGCGACGCCGCGUGUGCGAUGAAGGCCUUCGGGUUGUAAAGCACUGUCGAGGGGGAGGAAGCUCCGUAAGGAGUUGACCUAUCCCUGGAGGAAGCACGGGCUAAGUUCGUGCCAGCAGCCGCGGUAAGACGAACCGUGCAAACGUUAUUCGGAAUCACUGGGCUUAAAGGGCGCGUAGGCGGGUCGGAUAGUCUGCGGUGAAAUCCCUCAGCUUAACUGGGGAACUGCCGUGGAUACUGCCAAUCUCGAGGAGGGUAGGGGCAUCUGGAACAGCCGGUGGAGCGGUGAAAUGCGUUGAUAUCGGCUGGAACUCCGGUGGCGAAGGCGAGAUGCUGGACCCUUUCUGACGCUGAGGCGCGAAAGCCAGGGGAGCGAACGGGAUUAGAUACCCCAGUAGUCCCUGAGCGGGCUGGCAAGGCGCAU